rnacentral:rRNA from 1 species
GUAGGGAAUAUUGGACAAUGGGGGCAACCCUGAUCCAGCGACGCCGCGUGAGUGAUGAAGGCCUUCGGGUCGUAAAGCUCUGUUGCAGGGGAAGAACACAAUGACGGUACCCUGCUAGAAAGGAUCGGCUAACUUCGUGCCAGCAGCCGCGGUAAGACGAGGGAUCCUAGCGUUGUUCGGAAUUAUUGGGCGUAAAGCGGGUGCAGGUGGCUUGGUAAGUCAGAUGUGAAAGCCUGGGGCUUAACCCCAGAAGUGCAUUUGAUACUGCUGAGCUUGAGUGCUGGAGAGGCUAUUAGAAUUCCUGGUGUAGUAGUGAAAUACGUAGAUAUCAGGAGGAAUACCGGAGGCGAAGGCGGAUAGCUGGCCAGACACUGACACUCAGACCCGAAAGCGUGGGGAUCAAACAGGAUUAGAAACCCUAGUAGUCC